ACACACACACUCGCACACACCACAUACACACAAACACACACAUGUACAUAGAAACAUACAAAUACCACAUACACAACGCCUACGUGCUACGUAACUCCAUACACAAAGAUACACAAUACACAUGUGUUCUCAAGUGAGUGCCGCUUCCCUGGAAGCCAGCCUCUUCCACUGUGACAGUAAGGCAGGUCCACAGGGUGGCAUGGACUUGGCCUGAUGCCGGGUGUUCUGUGGACGUAACCCUACUGAUUUCUCAACAACAGCAAGAUGGAUCCUGCCGCCACACACUUUCUACAGAAGAAGAGAAAGCUCAAAAGCACAAAAACACAAAGCCAGCACAGGGCGGAGCUCAGACCCCACCCUGAAGGCACUUUCCUUCUAGGACAUUUCAUCCUGACAUUCUGUGGGAAAUGUCCCUCCAGAGAUGAGGCAGCCAGUUGCAGUGCAAAGGCCCCCCCAGAGCCUGGUGUUUACAUGAUUCUUCCAGAUGCCUCCAGCUGCACUUCCCUCGUAUCUACAAUAAGCACCUUCCCUUUGACCGUACCUUGGAAACCAAUGUCUUCUGUUUAUAUGUCUGGUGCCGAAACUCCGUUUACACAGUAGGCCUGCAGCAUCUUUACAAGAGUAAGACGGCACAGAAGCUCUAAAGGCUGAAGUCUCAAGCUACUUGUUGGGCACUGUAGUGAACAAAAUAUCUGCACAGUUCUCUCCAUUGUUCAGGACUGUCUGCUGGGACCUGCGCCCCACUAGUUUCUGUUCAAAACCUUCCCAGACCAUGGAAUCAACGCUCAGGGACCAGAGUCCAGGGGCAGGUUACCUUCUGAGGAGAGAACGCAGAGACAGAGAAACAGCAUGAAGAACAAACCGGAGAGGGUGAGAAGUCGCAUAGUGAAGUAGCUGGAGUCUCACGGCUAGGGAGGAAGCAGUGGCACAAAAGACCUCCCUUUGGCCUCUGAAGACAUUUAUAGAGUGGCAGAAAGAGGCGUUUCCCCAUAGGCAUCCCAGCCCUAGAAGUCACGUAAGAACAGUGAGCCCCUCCCAGCAGGAUAAUAAACCAGCUCUUCAAGAAGUCAGGAGGAUUAGGUGACUUGCUGCAUGUACUUUUAAAUGUCUAGCCCUGAGAGCUGUUCUGUUUUAACCCUCGUGGUUAGAAAAAGAAACUCUUGCGCCGUGAAAAACCACUGUCCAGGGUUGAACGUUAACUUUUAGGGCGAGCAAUAAUCCAGUAAAUGCAGAUCUUCCUGCUCUCUUGUAAACGAGGCUGGGAAAGGGGUCAUAAAACCAAAGGCAAAGGCUCAGGGGGAGCCAAAUGGAAUCCUUUCUCUGACAUUUAUCAGCAGUGUUAUCUUGAACUUGUCAUCAUUAAAUGUCUCUGGGUCUGCUGUCCAUCUGUGAAGUGAACACAGAGCUGCCUGAGGACACACGUUCCAGAAGUCAUCUGUACCAAGCCGGGUACUUAUGCCACUGUUAAAUUGUGUGGGGACUGAAGUUAGUCCUUGGUGAACAACUGGUAAAGUGAUUCAAUAAAAAGAGUGCUACGUCA
rnacentral:sRNA from 1 species